rnacentral:rRNA from 1 species
CUACGGGAGGCUCCAGUGGGGAAUAUUGCACAAUGGACGAAAGUCUGAUGCAGCAACGCCGCGUGGAGGAUGACACAUUUCGGUGCGUAAACUCCUUUUAUAUCCCAAGAUAAUGACGGUAGGAUAUGAAUAAGCGCCGGCUAACUCCGUGCCAGCAGCCGCGGUAAUACGGAGGGCGCAAGCGUUACUCGGAAUCACUGGGCGUAAAGAGCGUGUAGGCGGAUAGAUAAGUUGGGAGUGAAAUCCUAUGGCUUAACCAUAGAAUUGCUUCCAAAACUGUCUAUCUAGAAUAUGGGAGAGGUAGAUGGAAUUUCUGGUGUAGGGGUAAAAUCCGUAGAGAUCAGAAGGAAUACCGAUUGCGAAGGCGAUCUACUGGAACAUUAUUGACGCUGAGACGCGAAAGCGUGGGGAGCAAACAGGAUUAGAUACCCCGGUAGUC